rnacentral:rRNA from 1 species
GAUAAACGCUGGCGGCGUGCCUAAUACAUGCAAGUCGAGCGGCAGCGCGAGUAGUUUACUACUUGGCGGCGAGCGGCGGACGGCUGAGUAACGCGUGGGAACGUGCCCCAAAGUGAGGAAUAACUGCCCGAAAGGGUAGCUAAUGCCGCAUAUGCUCUUCGGAGUAAAGCUUUCGAGCGCUUUGGGAGCGGCCCGCGUCCGAUUAGGUUGUUGGUGAGGUAAUGGCUCACCAAGCCGACGAUCGGUAGCUGGUCUGAGAGGAUGAUCAGCCAGACUUGGACUGAGACACGGCCCAGACUCCUACGGGAGGCAGCAGUAAGGAAUCUUCCACAAUGGGGGCAACCCUGAUGGAGCAACGCCGCGUGCAGGAUGAAGGCUUUCGGGUCGUAAACUGCUUUUAUAAGUGAAGAAUAUGACGGUAACUUAUGAAUAAGGAUCGGCUAACUACGUGCCAGCAGCCGCCGUAA